CUUCCUUCACUUUCUCUCUCUCGGUUCUCUCACUCUCUAUCCAUCUUCGUCUUCUUCAAAGUGUUCAUGAAGAACACAUGAAGACCGGUGGCCGGACCACCGCGGGUUCCAGAAUCCGGCGCGGCGGCGCCGCCGGGAAACUUUAUUUUUUGGUCAAAAUCCCCUUUUUUAUUUGUUUAUUAUUAUUAUUAUUAUUGUUAUUAUUAUUAUUUUACCGGUUCCUCUUUGUUUUGAAACCCAAUAACAACUCAAAUCUUCCUUUUAAGCCACUUGUUUUAUAAUCUUAAACCCAGAUUGAAUACCAUAAACAAGUUCCUACAGAACGGAUUAAUUCCUUUCUAUACACCACUCUAUUAUUAAUCCAAAAAUCAGACAAAAUUACACAAAUACACACAUAAUCAGCAACAAAAAACUCAAAGGUAAAAAGGGUAAAAGAGUAUCUACUUGGAAUGCAGUGAUCCUCUGGUGUAAAAAGCUCCUGUUUUCCUCUGUCUUAUGCUUCGUUCUCUGUCUCCUCCUUCUCCUUUCUUGCCGCUGUUUUUUUGAUUUUGUGUAAACAGAGACUGUUGGAUAGUCCUUUGGGUUCUGAUUUAUCUGAGGGGUUUUUUGUGUGUAUGUUUUUUUUGGUUUUCUCUUUUGCGUGUUAUCUCCCCUUAUUGUGAAGNNNNNNNNNNUGAUUUAUAGCCAGAGGGAUUAGAGUUAGCAUUGAUUGUGAUUGAUUAAUUUUGGAGUGGAAUCUUAUGAGUUGAAUGCAAUUUAUGAAUGAAUGAUGAACUUUCCAUUUGGAGUUUGAUUUGUUUGAAUUGGAAAAAAAAUUAAAACUGCAAGCUUGAAAAAUAAGAGGAAUUGGUGCUGCCUGUGUUGUGCGUAUCCCAAGACCUUGCACUCAAAAUGCCUUAAACACUCUCCUCAUCACCAUACAAGCUAAAUGACAUAUUUGAAAGAAAAAAAAUGUAACAAAACUUUAUAUCACAAAAGAGUGGGCAAAAUUUAGGGUACGAC
rnacentral:lncRNA from 1 species